AACCAACGCUAAAAUAGAACGCUUAAGCCAAAUUGAACCGUACUGACCAGUUUUUUCACCCGGCAACAAAUAAAUAGUUUAAACAGACAUAGCGAAAAUAAAGUUAUAACAUAUUAUAUUAGAAUUGACGCCAUUUUAGUAAGGAAAACAGAUUAGGACAAAUAUUACUACAUGCAUACAUACAUUAACAACAAACGAUAUAGCCUCUAAUCCUUGAAAAAGAUAAAAUAAAUCAUCGAAACGUCGGAUAGUAGAAGCGAAACAUCGUUUAGCUGCUCUAAAUAGACUGAAUAGCCGAAAAUCCU